GGAUGUGAGGGCGAUCUGGCUGCGACAUCUGUCACCCCAUUGAUCGCCAGGGUUGAUUUAGCUGAUCUGGCUGGCUAGGCGGGUGUCCCCUUCCUCCCUCACCACUCCAUGUGCGUCCCUCCCGAAGCUGCGCGCUCGGUCGAAGAGGACGACCUUCCCUGAUAGAGGAGGACCGUUCUUCGGUCAAGGGUAUACGAGUAGCUGCGCUCCCCUGCUAGAACCUCCAAACAAGCUCUCAAGGUCCAUUUGAAAAAAAAAAAAAAUGAGUUAGGCAAAGCUACAGAUAACAAAAAUUGCAAUUUAAAGCAUGCAAAAUAUUUUGCACAUUUU
rnacentral:snRNA from 1 species